rnacentral:rRNA from 1 species
CUCCUACGGGAGGCAGCAGUGGGGAAUAUUGCGCAAUGGGGAAAUGCAUCACUACAUGGAUGGUGACAGUACCUGGAGAAGAAGCCACGGACUAACUACGUGCCAGCAGCCGCGGUAAUA